GACGAACGCUGGCGGCGUGCUUAACACAUGCAAGUCGAACGGAAAGGCCCUGCUUUUGUGGGGUGCUCGAGUGGCGAACGGGUGAGUAACACGUGAGUAACCUGCCCUUGACUUUGGGAUAACUUCAGGAAACUGGGGCUAAUACCGGAUAGGAGCUCCUGCUGCAUGGUGGGGGUUGGAAAGUUUCGGCGGUUGGGGAUGGACUCGCGGCUUAUCAGCUUGUUGGUGGGGUAGUGGCUUACCAAGGCUUUGACGGGUAGCCGGCCUGAGAGGGUGACCGGCGACAUUGGGACUGCGAUACGGCCCAGAGUCCUACGGGAGGCAGCAGUGGGGAAUAUUGCACAAUGGGAGGAAGCCUGAUGCAGCAACGCCGCGUGCGUGAUGACGGCCUUCGGGUUGUAAACCGCAUUCGCCUGUGACGAAGCGUGAGUGACGGUAAUGGGUAAAGAAGCACCGGCUAACUACGUG
rnacentral:rRNA from 1 species